rnacentral:piRNA from 1 species
UAAGCCACACGCAAAGGUUGGGUCAAUAUGA